rnacentral:rRNA from 1 species
UACGGAGGGUGCGAGCGUUAAUCGGAAUUACUGGGCGUAAAGCGCACGCAGGCGGUUUGUUAAGCUAGAUGUGAAAGCCCCGGGCUCAACCUGGGAUGGUCAUUUAGAACUGGCAGACUAGAGUCUUGGAGAGGGGAGUGGAAUUCCAGGUGUAGCGGUGUAAUGCGUAGAUAUCUGGAGGAACAUCAGUGGCGAAGGCGACUCCCUGGCCAAAGACUGACGCUCAUGUGCGAAAGUGUGGGUAGCGAACAGG